UUGAAAAAUAAUUAUUUGACAUUGUAUGUAUAGGUCGUAGAUACGUACAAUGAAUCUCUCUCGUCAAUCUCGCUGACUGAUCUCUCUCACUGAACCUCUCUCUCGCCGAUAUCUCUCACCAAUCUCUCGCCGGACCUCUCCUCCUGUUAAUCGUUGUGGUGCGGUUGCUUUCUCAUCAUUCAAUUGUAAUUGCAAAUACAGGAUGGCGUCUUCCUCUAAUCAAGCUCAGUGUUUGUCCAAACAAGUUCAGCUCUGUGGUUCUUUCAGUCGUUGUCAGGUUGGUGCUGCAUUUUCAAUAGUUUAUAUAUCCGGGUCACCUGUCAUGUUUGUUGGAUGGGGCUGUUGUUGUUGAUGGCUAUAGUUUUCCUAUUCGUGUUGGUAAAAAUGGUAAAAAUGUCAUUUUUGUGGGUUUUUGGUUGUUUAUGGUUGGGGAUUUUAUUUAAGUAUUUGUGAAUCAAGGAGGGUGUUUUGUAUUUUGUUUUUUAGAAAUUGAUAGUUGCUAAGAAUUCGUUGAAGUUUAGCUUAGAGAAAUCUAAAAAUUUAGGUGAUUUUAUUGGGAAAUCUGGGCCGAGGUUAGAUGAGAUCAAUCAAAGGUUGCCUUAUUUGGAAGUUGUAGUUCCACCAAUCCGUGCUCUUCAUAAAUUUUUUUGUUGUUUGUAUUAAAUGUUAAUUUCCUUGCAUCUUCUUUAGAAUAUAGACAGUGAAACCUUUUCCUUGGUGAAACCUUUUCCUUAGUAAUGAUGUUGAUGGCCUUUACUAGCAGCAGCUGCACACCUCUCCGUGAAAGGCCUGUAUGAUUACUCAUGAAUAUAUUGAGGCUAUGAAAAAAGAAGCAUUCUAAGCACUCCGAACAAUUACCAGCUCAAAAUUGGUCUGCUCCCAGAGAUCUGAUGAUGCCGUAGCUGCUAUGAAGCUUUUAGAAGCUUCAAGUUCCAGAGAAGCUCCCACACAGACCUAUGUGCUUAAGCUGGUGGAACUUGUUGGCCAAGCCACGCCACUCAUAAUCAAUCACGGAAUGGGUCAAAAGAUUUCCUCUGGACACACUCUUUCGUGACAUAUAAUUCAUCUAUGGAUAAAUUUUGAACAACAGUAUUUUGGAUUGGUUUCCGUCCAGGCCUUCACUUCAAUGUCACUUCCAAGAUUCAUGCAUUUCGACGUUUGUUCUGUCACCUUUGACAAUUCAGCAUCGCUAAUCAUACUUCCCUUUCAUCAUAAAUGGAACCAUCAUGGUAAGAUUAUACUGGAAAACAAUCUGCAGAGGACCGUGAAUCGGGAAGUACUGGGAACAGCUCCCUAUUCUGCAGGGAUUCUAGUUGAUGGUCGUAAAAUACGCACUGAAACUUCUGCUGACCAACACAGACAAUCAAGAUAUCAUGUUGCAGUCAUAUUUUUGGGAGAAAAUGACGACCAGGAGGCUUUAGCGUAUGCCAUACGUAUGGCAAAGUCGAUGAGAAUUCAGUUGAGUGUCAUUAGGCUUUUUCCCUCUGAAGUGAGUGAAGAGAACAUGGACGCUGUUCUUGACAGAGAAAUCUUAAGGGAGACAAAGAUACUGAGCUGGAAACAGAGCAAUAUAGUUUAUGAGAAGAGACUACUAGUGAUGGCGGAGAGACUGCUCUGAUAGUGAAUUCAAUGGUGGAUUCCUUUGAUUUGAUACUGGUUGGGAGACACUUAGACACCACAGAGAGCAUUCACCGCUCUUAGUAGGUCUGUCGCAAUGGAAUGAUAUACCAGAGCUGGGGGCAGUAGGUGACAUUUUGGCAUCUGCAGAAAUUAACAGACCAGCUUCAGUCUUGGUGCAGCAACAGAUUGUUAGGUAAAUUUAUUGCAAGUGAUAUAUCAUGACAAAGAGAUGUUUGAAUGCAAAGAGAUAGUUUUUUUCAAUUAAAUUUGUUGUUGUCAGACCAUCAUUUAUCUUAGUAGUCUGAUUUGCUUGUAUCACUUGUCUAUUUGAUGGUAAAUUGCAAUUGAAAUAAGAAGUUUUUUCGUUAGACUUAAUUUGGAAAGACUUGGCGGUAAUUAAUGUCUAGCCGUCUGAUUGCCUGGAGGUAUCUGUAGUGAGGUGUGUGUAAAUUGUGUUUAGAGCCAUAUUGUAAAUAUAUUCUUAUAGAUGUUGUAUCUAUUGAUGCGAGCACUUGUCAGCUAUCAACAUGCUUGAUGCAGACUACAUUAUCAGGUUUUGUUAUAUUACGCUGCUUUUAGGCUA